AUCUUUCUCAGCAAAAUGAGGAAGGUUAGCGGCGGAUGUUAGCUCAGGGCUACUCUUACUCAAGAAAAAUAUAAAUAAGUAAAUAAAAAUGUAAAAAAUCAGUCUCAUUAUAGGUAUUAGUUUACUUUUUGACUCUGUGUUCUGUUCCAUCGAUCUGUUGACUUAACAUUACACCAAUUCCGUACUGCUUUGAACAAAAUAACUCUCUAAUAGAUCUUGAAAUGAGGUAGAGCUGGCCCUCCAACAUUGUUUUUUUAUUUUAUAAAUGUUUUCGCUACGCUAGAUCUUUGUCAUUUUAUAUUCAUUUAGAAUCACAUCAUUCCUGUCUCCCUAAGAUGCUGACUGAGAUUUGAGUUGGCUGGGGUUGGAUCUAUAGACCCAAUUGGGGAAAACUGACAUCUCAAAAAUAAUGAGUCUUCUGACCCACGAACAGGGAAUUGGUCUUCAUGUUUUAGGUCGUCAUCAAUUUCUUUCACCAACGUCCUGUACUUUCGUUUGUUUGACGCUAUUAUUUCUUACAUUUCAGUUGUGCACUGGAAUUACAUAGACAUGAAAUAGAUUGUUGUAUAUUGACCGUGUAUCCUGCUAGAAACAAAUGCUUCAGAAUCAAGCCAGAUUGGGCAGAGACCACAGUUUUGGGGACUUGUGUACUUGCCAGCUACUAUGUAAAUAAGAUCUGUGAAAUGAAACACAGGAAGGAGGCCCAUGCCAAUAUUUGGGACACUCAACUAUGACGGUUGGUCACCAGGACACUCUCUGGAGGAGAUUCUCUAGACUUUUAGUGGUGAAUAAUGUCAUGGAAACAGAAGUCGAAUAAUAAUGAAGGAUAUUUGAAAUCUGUCGAAUGUUAUAAAUCAAUGUUACCUCAUUAAAAAUAAAAGAAAAAAAUUAAAAUGAAAGAAAAAGCCUA